rnacentral:rRNA from 1 species
UAAUACGUAGGGCGCAAGCGUUGUCCGGAAUUAUUGGGCGUAAAGAGCUCGUAGGUGGCGUGUCGCGUCUGCCGUGAAAGCCCAUGGCUUAACUGUGGGUCUGCGGUGGAUACGGGCAGGCUGGAGGCUGGUAGGGGCAAGCGGAAUUCCUGGUGUAGCGGUGAAAUGCGCAGAUAUCAGGAGGAACACCGGUGGCGAAGGCGGCUUGCUGGGCCAGUUCUGACGCUGAGGAGCGAAAGCGUGGGGAGCGAACA